UACAGAGGGUGCGAGCGUUUAAUCGGAAUUACUGGGCGUAAAGGGCGCGUAGGCGGGAUGGCAAGUCGGUCGUGAAAUCCUUCGGCUCAACCGAAGAACGUCGGCCGAUACUGCCGUUCUUGAGGGAUGCAGAGGAGAUUGGAAUUCCCGGUGUAGCGGUGAAAUGUGUAGAGAUCGGGAGGAACACCGGUGGCGAAGGCGGGUCUCUGGGCGAUCUCCUGACGCUGAGGCGCGAAAAGCGUGGGGGAGCGAACAGG
rnacentral:rRNA from 1 species